CUGUAUCUGUACCUAAACUGUACCGCAGCAGUUACCCAUCAGUUGACCGAACGAGAAGUAACCCUGAAUUAUUGGUUCUAUUGGUUGGUACGAAUUAGGGACACUUUGUAUGUUGGGGCUUGAGCUGACUGCCAGGACAGUAGUUACAUAUCACAUCGAUGAAACCCUUCAGUCGAGACCCGAUCGGGCGCUCUCCAUCACUCUAGUCCUGGUCGUCCUCCUGAAGCGGCGGCGGCGGCUGCUCCUGAUUCCGAUCCGAAUCCGAUGACUUCCGGGUGCUUGCCUUAUGCUGCAGCUGCACCUCGUACUCGCUCUUGAUGUUCACAUACAGUUCACUCUGCUUCUGGUGCUCCUGCUGCAAAAGGGUCACGAAAAUACGGUCAGCAUCAAUCACAAACUGUGUGAUUUCCAAUCUCUCUCCUAUAUUUCAUUUGCUUGUAAUUUCAUUUCAAGAUUCUCGCUGUAAUUGAAUGCCAAUAGCUUACCAUGAUCUCAUCGAAUCGCUGAUUGGCAUGGGGCAACUCGUAUCGCUGACUCUGUUCCCGCAAAUUCCUGGCCACAUUGAGCUGCUGGUGCUGGGUAUAAAACGCCGCUUGGACAGCUUCUCUUCGGUUUCCACGUGAGCAGUGCUGCCCCUCUUCAGAUUGGACCCAACCGCCUGGAGAUCGGUCGUGGGUGCACCCUGGCAGAAGUCGCAAGGCGAAUGCGAAUCGCUGCAGGUGCAGCUGCCCAAGGAGCUGGGCGAUUUGACUGCCGUCGAUGCGUGGAUACCACGCAAAUGUUUGGCCGCCGUAACGUUGACCACACUGAUACUCUUCGUAAUCGCCGAUUUGACAGAGGACGCUUCCGGCGGAACCAGUGCCAGGGGUGGGGUUUUGGCGUUACCAUGCCCGUGUGAGGAUAGAGCGGAGGAACCAUGAUGCGAUCGGCCGUGAUGACUGCCAUAGGGAUCACCGAAUUCGGACAUGCUGCGCGCGCCAUCGUCCUGAUCGUCAUCAUCAUCCUCCUCGUCGUCGUCGCCAUCCUGCGCAUCAUCGUCCUCGUCGCCGUCAUCGUGGCCACCAUUCUCGCCAGACUUCUGCAGAUUCUGGAUGAGCCGCAGCACGGCCUUCUCCAGCAGAGCCGGAUGCUCGGAGGCGGGCACAUCGAUGGUCGACUGCGGUAUCUGUGUGUUGAUAAUUACCGAGAACUUCUUCUUCAUCUCCUGCACCCGCCGCUUGCCCUCCUCCUCGCCAAGCAGCGUGUUCACACAGACAAAGGAGUGCACCUUGUUCGUCUCCUUGUCGAUCUCCAGAUAGCCCUUCGAUUGCAGGUAGAUGAUGUUCCCGUUGCGGGUGAAUAGCCGGUAAGUGGACUCGCCAUAUGAACUAUUGCAGUCGUACACUGAAAGAUGCCAAAUGGAUGAUGGCAUUGGGUUACAUACGAUAUGCUGGACUAUGUUAGGAACACUCACUUUGACGCAGGGCCACGAUCACCCAGCGCACAUCGUCGUUGUGCAUGAAGGUGAAGGGACUGAGAUUGCGCACCUCAUCCGUCAUGUAGCCGGCCACGAUACCAAUUCUCUGGUCGCAGUCGAUGAUCCUGCCGUCAAUCAAGUGGCGGGUUUUGUACUCCAGUGUAUUGGCAUCGAUCAGCCGACUGGCGAUCUUCGGCGGACGGAUUAUCCGGGCGCAGCCAGUCAGAAUCUAAACGAAUCAUGGAGAAAGGAUUAUGGUGGCUUCAACUUGUGAUGAUGUCGAAUAGUUUCAGUACGGUAGUACUUGCAACAUACGAUAUGACAUCAUUCGAAAGGAUCUUAUAUCAAUAAUUUAAAGAUCAACUUACGAUAUCAUUGCCGCUAAUGGUGUGCAGUGGAAUGACAUCGUCACGACCGCGUGUCCGCCUGAUUAACUGCAGAUUGGAGCUGAAAUGAUUGGAGCGUACGCCGCGUGGCGCUUCGUCACUACGCCGAAAGCAGCCAUCGAUCUUGACCACUUCGUAGGCGGUGGGUUCCGAUCUGGGACCAGCACGAGCCAAUCUGCAUAAAAAAAAAAACAUGGGUAUUAGACAAUCACAGCAUAUCAAGAUUAGGUUGAUAAGAUGCGUGAUAAGAUAAGCUAUGAUUAGAUUUUGGACCAACCUCACGCGAAAACUGCGUCUAUCCUCGCGCAACUUGCGAUCGAUGGCAUCCUCCUCGGCUUUGCUCCGCUGGCGGGGCUCACCUUCCGCAUCCGAAUCGCCAUGGGCAUCGAAGAGGUUCUCCAACUCGGUGGGGAUCAGCUGCUGUUUGAGCAUGUUCUGGUCCUCGGGAUGCGUGAUCUGCAUAAUGCUCUGACCAUACAAAUCCGACUGACAGUGGCCCAAAUGCUGUUCAAUGCUGGCCGAGAUCAGCAGUAUGUGGCCAUGGCAGGUGAGUGUGAGAAAGAAGCUGUCCAGCAUGUCCAUCAGGGUGUCCGUGAUCUGUGGUCGCUGCUGCAUCAGACUGUUGCCAAAGGCUGAAGGAGUUGUUUUUUUUUUUUUUUUAUAUAGUAUUACUAUGCAUUUGGAUAAAUACGAGAUAUGUAUAUAGCUUACCAUGCUUCAAUCGCAAUGCAUGGGCGGCAAAGCGCAGAACGGCUGUUUUGUCCACUCGACGUGGCGACUCCGCCACGUGGGGCACCAUUGUGGAUAGUUCCUGGAUGGAUCCGUUCAGUUUGUCCCGCCGAUUCUUUUCCGCUCGGUUUCGCGCCUCUCGACCACUGAAAUAAAUAAAUAAUGAAGUAUAUGUUU
ensembl:ncRNA asRNA:CR44961 antisense RNA:CR44961